AUGCAGCUGGGGCCCGGAGCAAGACUUUCUGUAACUUGCAGCUCUCUCUUCCCUGAGCAACCCAUCGCCACCUCUGAGCCUGUGCCCCGAGGGACCCAUGCAGGUGGCCGGCCUUCUGCACACCUGGGGCAUCUGGGGACGUGGGCGAUCCCUGAGGUCCUGCGCCUAGGGCCCUGCUUCCAUCGCAGGUCCCGGCUGCCCACGCCAGGGACCGAGGGAAGGAGAAGCGGGUCUGCGCAGCAGGCGGCUGAGCCCGGGCCCGCCCACUCGGAGCCGAGGCCGGAGCAGCGCGUCGGGAGCCUCCGGGGCGGGGACCCUGGCUGUGAGCGGGAAAUGGAGCGCUCGUGCUGGAGUGGAAGAGACCAGCUGGAACAACUCUGCUCAGAGGGCUGCCGAUGGACCUCCCAGUACAGGUACCGGCGGCCGCGCAGCGCACACACCCCUGUGUGCGCGCCCUUCCUGCCGGCCCGGCCCGCGGUGCGUCGGCCUCGCCCGCUCUCCACGCCCGGCCCUGGGCGCCUUUCCUGGCGGGCUCCGCUCCGUGCGUGCGGGGCUCUGCGCGCGGGGGACAAGGACGCCUCCUGGACGCCUCGUCGCUGCCUCUGAACCGGCGGCCCCCGCCUUCCCCAGCACUGGGCUCCUCCCUCCCCGCCGCAUCUGAGCGUCCAGGGCUGGGCCGUCCCUCCCUGGGCGCGUUCCUGGGCUCUGUGAUCCAUCGGGGUGUAAGGGAGAGCCUGCCACCCG
rnacentral:lncRNA from 1 species